rnacentral:rRNA from 1 species
UACAGAGGGUGCAAGCGUUAAUCGGAAUUACUGGGCGUAAAGAGCGCGCAGGCGGUCUUGCAAGUCGCGUGUGAAAGCCCCCGGCUCAACUGGGGAGGGUCACGCGAUACUGCUCGACUCGAAGGCAGGAGAGGGAAGUGGAAUUCCCGGUGUAGUGGUGAAAUGCGUAGAUAUGCGGAGGAACACCGAUGGCGAAGGCAAUCCCCUGGGCCUGCACUGACGCUCAUGCACGAAAGCGUGGGGAGCAAACAGG